rnacentral:rRNA from 1 species
UACGUAGGGGGCAAGCGUUGUCCGGAUUUCUUGGGCGUAAAGCGCUCGCAGGGGGUUCGUUGCGUCGUGCGUGAAAGACCCCGGCUCAACUGGGGGAUGUCGUGCGAUACGGGCAGACUGGAGGCCAGUAGGGGGAUGCGGAAUUCCGGGUGUAGUGGUGGAAUGCGUAGAGAUCCGGAGGAACACCAGCGGCGAAGGCGGCAUCCUGGACUGGUCCUGACACUCAGGAGCGAAAGCGUGGGGAGCGAUCCGG